GAGAUGUGAUGAACGAAAUUGGUCCGUGUUUCUGAUUGAACAGUGACAGAUAACACCUUUUUUUUACUCUUCUGAUCUC